GCGGGCGGGCGGGCUGCGGGCAGGGUUGGCCUCGCCUGGAAGAGGGAAGGCGGGAGGGCGCGCGCCAGGGCUGCUCGCCUGCUCGCUCGCUCGCUCGCUCCCUCCCUCCGCUGGUGGGUUUAGUCAGUCAGCGAGCAGCAGCCGGCGGGCCCGCGAGCCGCAGAGGGCCCAAGCCUGGGACGCCGGCGUCUCCUCCUGCCAUUGUUCGUCGGGCUGCAGCAGUGGCGGGCGCAGGAGCCCGGCCCCGGAGCCACCGCAACAUCAUGACAACAGAGAAGAGUUUAGUGACUGAGGCUGAAAAUUCACAGCACCAACAGAAGGAAGAGGGUGAGGGAGCUAUAAACUCAGGCCAACAAGAACGUCAGCAGGAGGAAUCUUGUCAGACAGUAGCCGAAGGAGAUAAUCAGUUUGAACAGAAGCUGAAAGCUUCUAAUGGAGACACUCCUAUACAUGAAGACUUGACUAAGAACAAGGAGCGGACAUCAGAAAACAGAGGGCUUUCACGACUGUUCUCCUCGUUUCUCAAAAGGCCCAAAUCUCAGGUGUCCGAGGAAGAAGGAGGCAAAGAAGUAGAGUCAGAUAAAGAAAAAGGUGAAGGACGUCAGAAAGAGAUAGAAUUUGGAACCAGUCUUGAUGAAGAGAUCAUUUUAAAGGCCCCGAUUGCAGCUCCUGAACCUGAACUCAAAACAGACCCAUCUUUGGAUCUUCAUUCAUUAAGCAGUGCAGAAACACAGCCUGCUCAGGAAGAACUCAGAGAAGAUCCAGAUUUUGAAACUAAGGAAGGAGAAGGACUUGAAGAGUGCUCCAAACUAGAAGUAAAAGAAGAAAGCUCUGAAUCAAAACCAGAAGGAGAAUUAAAAGCUUCCCAAAAAUCAAUCAGAAAACACAGGAACAUGCACUGCAAGGUUUCUUUGUUGGAUGACACAGUUUAUGAAUGUGUUGUGGAGAAACAUGCUAAGGGACAAGAUUUGCUUAAACGAGUAUGUGAGCAUCUCAAUCUUUUGGAAGAAGACUAUUUUGGUCUAGCCAUUUGGGAUAACGCAACCUCUAAGACGUGGCUGGAUUCCGCCAAAGAAAUAAAAAAGCAGGUUCGUGGUGUCCCUUGGAAUUUUACAUUUAACGUAAAGUUUUAUCCACCUGACCCAGCACAGUUAACAGAAGACAUAACAAGAUAUUAUUUAUGUCUUCAGCUUCGGCAGGACAUAGUUGCAGGACGGCUGCCCUGUUCCUUUGCAACCUUAGCAUUAUUAGGUUCUUACACCAUCCAGUCUGAACUGGGAGACUAUGACCCAGAACUCCAUGGCGUGGAUUAUGUCAGUGAUUUUAAACUGGCUCCGAAUCAGACCAAGGAACUUGAAGAGAAGGUCAUGGAACUGCAUAAGUCAUACAGGUCCAUGACUCCAGCUCAGGCUGACUUGGAGUUUCUUGAGAAUGCUAAAAAGUUGUCUAUGUAUGGAGUUGAUCUUCAUAAAGCAAAGGACUUGGAAGGAGUAGAUAUCAUCCUAGGUGUCUGCUCUAGUGGCCUUCUGGUUUACAAAGAUAAGCUGAGAAUUAACCGCUUCCCUUGGCCCAAAGUGCUGAAGAUUUCUUAUAAACGUAGCAGCUUUUUCAUCAAGAUUCGGCCUGGAGAGCAAGAACAAUAUGAAAGUACUAUUGGAUUCAAACUUCCCAGUUACCGAGCAGCUAAGAAAUUAUGGAAAGUCUGUGUAGAACAUCACACGUUUUUCAGAUUGACAUCUACAGACACCAUUCCCAAAAGCAAAUUUCUUGCGCUAGGAUCCAAAUUUCGAUACAGUGGCCGGACUCAAGCUCAGACCAGGCAAGCUAGUGCUCUAAUUGACAGGCCCGCCCCACACUUUGAGCGUACAGCAAGUAAACGGGCUUCCCGGAGCCUCGAUGGAGCAGCAGCUGUGGAUUCGGCAGACCGAAGUCCUCGGCCCACUUCUGCACCCGCCAUUGCUCAGGGUCAGGUUGCAGAAGGUGGCGUCCUAGAUGCCUCUGCUGAAAAAACAGUGGUCCCUAAAGCACAGAAGGAAACAGUGAAGGCUGAAGUGAAAAAGGAAGACGAGCCACCUGAGCAAGCUGAGCCAGAGCCCACAGAAGCAUGGAAGAAAAAGAGAGAAAGACUAGAUGGUGAAAACAUUUAUAUCAGACAUAGCAAUUUAAUGUUGGAGGAUUUAGACAAGAGUCAAGAGGAGAUCAGAAAACAUCACGCUAGCAUCAGUGAGCUGAAAAAGAACUUCAUGGAAUCUGUACCAGAACCACGGCCUAGUGAAUGGGAUAAACGCUUAUCCACUCACUCCCCCUUCCGAACUCUUAACGUCAAUGGGCAAAUCCCCACAGGAGAAGGACCUCCCCUGGUGAAGACACAAACUGUCACCAUCUCAGAUAAUACCAAUGCUGUGAAAAGUGAAAUCCCAACCAAAGAUGUCCCUAUUGUCCACACUGAGACCAAGACCAUCACUUACGAGGCUGCCCAGCUUCUGAUGGGAAGAAGCUACAUGAUAAAUAGACUGAUGACAACAGUGGAGACUUGGACCCAGGAGUCUUGCUGACAGCUCAAACUAUCACAUCUGAGACCACAAGCAGCACCACCACAACUCAAAUUACCAAGACUGUAAAAGGUGGGAUUUCAGAGACACGUAUUGAAAAGAGAAUUGUGAUCACAGGAGAUGCUGAUAUUGACCAUGAUCAGGUUCUUGUACAAGCCAUCAAGGAGGCAAAGGAGCAGCACCCAGACAUGUCAGUGACCAAGGUGGUCGUCCACCAGGAGACCGAGAUUGCUGAUGAGUGAGCUCAGGAACUAACCUACCCCAACUCUCUGCCCUUCUCCCAUCCAAGAGAAACCAGCAAAAUGAUAAAGAAGCUAACCUGCCAUAGUCAGACUUCAGACUUUAAAGAUUAUUCUAAAUCACCAGAAAAUUAAUUUCAUUUUCUAUUGCAAGUUUAUACCAAGAGAUUCUUCUAGAUCUCACUGAUCCUUUUGAAGAGCUUUUUCUAUAUUAGGACAUCAGAAUUGUUCAACUUUUCACUCUAUGGACUGUUUUAAGAGUUUUUGGGUUUUUUUAAUUGGGUGGUUUGUAACCCCUUCAGCCUAGCCUCUGCCCAUUUAUUUCCAACCCCAACAGACACUGACAGGGUCCACGGAAUUCUUCAGGAAAUCCUCCAAGGACUCUUGUCAGCUGUGUUGGAGGCCAAAGCCAGCUUAGUGGGACUUCCGCGUUUCUCCCUAGUCUUAUCCCCUUUGGAUGACAGCAGAAACUUCACGAACCAGCCCUUUCUCAGAGCCAGUGAUGUGAGUGUAUCAGAACGCCAGUCGGCACCAGCCCUGAUCCACAGACCUCGGAAUGAUGCCCCUGUUUCUUUGUUGCAGGUGGUUUUGGUAAGGCAGAGCCCUCUGCUGAAUCCACACACCUUGGAACAGUACCCCCUGUUCCUUUGUUGUGGGUGGUUUUGGUAAGGCAGAGCCCUCUGCUGAGAAUGUAGUAUUGUUUUUCUCCUCUCCCUCCUGCUUUCUUUUUGGAGCUUCUUUGGGUCAAAGACAUAAGAAGUUGCUUCAGAUAUCUGAUACUGUGAAUGUUUGAACAUAUCCGUGGCCUUCACCUCUCCAGCUACCCUCUUACCUCAUCAGAAGCAGUGGCUCAGCUAAGUGCUCCCCCAGCUCCCAUCUCAGGAGACCAAAUCUCACAGAAAAACAGGCACUUUGGGCCAAAAGCUCUAAUGGAACAUUUUUAGUGGUGAUUUGGGGAAGGAAAGUUAAUGAGGUUUUUAAAAUAAGGUUUUCUAGUUUUGAGAGUGUACACUUCACACAGGGGAAUGGGGUUACUUCUGUCAGAUCCUGGGCCUUUCUUUCAUCCCAAAUGACAAGGAAUGUGGCUCAGAGAAGAGGUUGUGGGUUUUCCUUUUUUGACCUUUCUUCUCUCAACAGGAACCUGCCUGAGGACACCCUUCUAGAGCAAGGAAUUGGCUUUUAGGAGCCAUCCUCCCCACAAGGCACCACAUGGCAAAGGGUACAAGCCCCAGCCCUGCUCAUUCCCACUCAUCAGCUGAGGUCUGUCAGGUUUUGAAGGCUUGAUUUUGUGGUGGGUUUGGGGCUUAGUUUUUCUUUUUUUGGUUUUGAUUUUUGAAAAUAAAGAUAAUACCCUAAUUCCUGGUAAGGAUUUGGGGCAUAAUUUUUUUGUUUUUUUUUUUUGAGAUGGAGUUUUGCUCUUGUUGCCCAGGCUGGAGUGCUGUGGCACGAUCUUGGCUCACUGCAACCUCCACCUCCCAGGUUCAAGUAAUUCUCCUCAAGUAGCUGGGAUGAUAGGUGUGCACCACCAUGCCCGGCUAAUUUUUGUAUUUUUAGUAGAAAUGGGGUUUCACCAUGUUAGCCAAGCUGGUCUCAAACUCUGGACCUCAGGUAAUCCACCCACCUUGGCCUCCCAAAGUGCUGGGAUUAUAGGUAUGAACUACCGCGCCCGGCCAAUUUGGGGCAUUUUUAUUCAACAGAACUUUUCUAACCUUUCAACUGCUUCCCACAAAUACAUUGGCCUGGAGGCUUCUUAGAAUCCCAGUUCCAGGCUAGAAGUGAGCUUCUUAAAAUAGACAGUGGGUAUUGGGCAGCAGUCACUGGGAUUCAAGGGCAGUGAGCAAGAUAAAUGUCUUAAAGCUGAUUCUCCCAACAUCGUCCAAAGUCUCCACUGCCUGAGUUUUGUUUCGGCUGGUUUGAACUCAUUUUGGGUGUGUACAUUUCUCUUUUGGUACCCAUGUGAGACAUGAACAACAGGAGGAAGGGAAAGAACCCAGGUGGGAUGUGGGACAGGCUUAGGGGAAAGAGUUUGUCCUAUCUCAGGAACAGACUUACAGGCUGUGGGCAGAGGGUCUGAAAGGUGGGGCUUUGGGGUAGUGCCCAAGCCUGGCCAUAUUGCCAGGAGUGGUGACAAGUGAGAAAUGCAGCUUACCUCAAACAAACAUGUGGUGCGUGGCCACUGCCUGACAGCCAGAUGGCCUGUAGAAAGAGCUACCAGGGCUCCCAGACCUGUGGAACAAAGAGGAUGGGGAAAAGGCAGAGGGGCACUGAGUGUGCCUUUAAAAACUAACACACUGAAUAUUCUGUGCGAUCCAGAACAGUGUGGCAGCUUUCACAGCACAGGACCAUUCAUCAGGGGCCUAAACGUUUCCCUCAACUCUGUCACCAACUCACUUCUCUCGGCUUCCUUGUCUGUAAAUUGGAUGAGAAGAGCUCUAAUGCCUUUCAGGCUCUAAGAAGCCAUAGAUUUGGACAAGCCCAGCAAGAUGGGUAUCCUUCCAGGCCUCUUCCCCUUUCCUCCAUCUCUGGCAACAGUUCUUAGGGUUUGGCAAUUGUUUGGAUUUUUUUUCUUUCUGCAGUUGUGUGUAUGUGUUUGUGUGAAGAAAAACAGACUCCGUCCAGGUAGAAAUGGUGAAGAGGGGGAAGAGAAUUACAUUUCCAGGGUCAGAAACUUGGCAACAGUUUUCCUGAAGUGACUCAGACACACCACAGUAACAACUCUUGCUGCAAUUUUAUUUUCAUUUGAGAAAUAAAGAUUUCCUCCAAGCCACAUGAGGACUCUGGCACCCACCCACAAAGCAAGACCUGUAUUUAUAAGCCUAGGGCUCAGGGAGCCUAACUGCGGGACCUGUCAGGGUACCGUGACCUAUCCCACUCCCCCAGGCCCAUCAGUGUGUGUUGGGGGGAUGCUUGGCAGCUGGGGGUGAGGAGACAACAGACCUAGGGAAAUGGAGCCAGAGCUGUGGCCUAAAUGAUGCCCUUUGAUGCUCACGGGAAAUUUCUGCCCAGGAUCUCAGCCCCAGGCUGGUUGUUUCUACAAAUCUCUCUCAAAUGUAUUAUUUUGGUGACAAAAAUGAAGGAGCUUUGUAAAUUUUUUAAAAAUUAUGAAUCAUAUCAAGUAGUUGUUUACAUUUCUUGAAAAAAUAGGAACUCUGGCAGCAGAAUCAGAUUGGCAGAAUCCUUAAACUACACAGGCAAUAAUCAAGUCUGCUGUUUUGGCCUUUUGUAGUAGGAGAAGUGGUUGUAGUGUUUAGACAUGUGUUUGGUCUUGCUUCUUGUAUUGCAUUUUUUUCAAUAAACAACAACAAAAAGAACUGA